rnacentral:rRNA from 1 species
UGGGGAAUCUUGCGCAAUGGCCGAAAGGCUGACGCAGCGACGCCGCGUGAGGGAUGACGGCCUUCGGGUUGUAAACCUCUGUUGCCCGGGACGAACACGCCGUUUCGACGGCGCUGACGGUACCGGGUGAGGAAGCACCGGCUAACUCUGUGCCAGCAGCCGCGGUAAUACAGAGGGUGCGAGCGUUGUCCGGAAUCACUGGGCGUAAAGGGCGCGUAGGCGGUCUCUUAAGCGUGUGGUGAAAGCCCGGGGCUCAACUCCGGGUCGGCCGUGCGAACUGGGGGACUGGAGCUUGUCAGAGGCAGGCGGAAUUCCGGGUGUAGCGGUGGAAUGCGUAGAGAUCCGGAAGAACACCGGUGGCGAAGGCGGCCUGCUGGGACAGUGCUGACGCUGAGGCGCGACAGCGUGGGGAGCAAACAG